rnacentral:rRNA from 1 species
GCAAGUUGAGCGCUGAAGGUUGGUACUUGUACCAACUGGAUGAGCAGCCCCUUGGUGAGUAACGCGUGGGGAAUCUGCCUUUGAGCGGGCCAUAACAUUUGGAAACGAAUGCUAAUACCGCAUAAAAACUUUAAACACAAGUUUUAAGUUUGAAAGAUGCAAUUGCAUCACUCAAAGAUGAUCCCGCGUUGUAUUAGCUAGUUGGUGAGGUAAAGGCUCACCAAGGCGAUGAUACAUAGCCGACCUGAGAGGGUGAUCGGCCACAUUGGGACUGAGACACGGCCCAAACUCCUACGGGAGGCAGCAGUAGGGAAUCUUCGGCAAUGGACGAAAGUCUGACCGAGCAACGCCGCGUGAGUGAAGAAGGUUUUCGGAUCGUAAAACUCUGUUGGUAGAGAAGAACGUUGGUGAGAGUGGAAAGCUCAUCAAGUGACGGUAACUACCCAGAAAGGGACGGCUAACUACGUGCCAGCAGCCGCGGUAAUACGUAGGUCCCGAGCGUUGUCCGGAUUUAUUGGGCGUAAAGCGAGCGCAGGUGGUUUAUUAAGUCUGGUGUAAAAGGCAGUGGCUCAACCAUUGUAUGCAUUGGAAACUGGUAGACUUGAGUGCAGGAGAGGAGAGUGGAAUUCCAUGUGUAGCGGUGAAAUGCGUAGAUAUAUGGAGGAACACCGGUGGCGAAAGCGGCUCUCUGGCCUGUAACUGACACUGAGGCUCGAAAGCGUGGGGAGCAAACAGGAUUAGAUACUCUGGUAGUCCACGCCGUAAACGAUGAGUGCUAGAUGUAGGGAGCUAUAAG